rnacentral:rRNA from 1 species
UACGUAGGGGGCUAGCGUUGUCCGGAUUUAUUGGGCGUAAAGAGCUCGUAGGUGGUUCGGUAAGUCGGAUGUGAAACCUCCAGGCUCAACCUGGAGGGGUCAUUCGAUACUGCCGUGACUAGAGUUCGGUAGAGGAGUGUGGAAUUCCUGGUGGAGCGGUGAAAUGCGCAGAGAUCAGGAGGAACACCCGUAGCGAAGGCGGCACUCUGGGCCGAUACUGACACUGAGGAGCGAAAGCGUGGGGAGCGAACAGG